rnacentral:tRNA from 1 species
AUUCAAAUAAUUUAAAUAUUAAAAUGUUAGCUUGUGGCGCUAAAAAUGUAUAGAUAUACUUUGAGUA